rnacentral:lncRNA from 1 species
GACAAUUUUUUUUAAAUAAGCUAUGGAAACCGUGGAGUAAUUUGAAUCUUUCACAAUUUAUUCUAUUCAUUCUCUCUCACUUUCUAACUUUUUAUCACAUGACAACUUUUACAUCCUAACCUCGAGAUCCAAAUCAUAUAGUAUAAAUACCAAGGGUUUUACCAACUUGAUAACCUAGUAUCUUCUUCCCACCCAUUCCAUUUAUCAAAAAAUUGGGACCGC